GCCGAGUCGACCUUCAACCCGCCCAAAUCUGCCUAAUGAGAGCAACAGACCAACUGGACACAAGCAAAACAUUUCCUGGGGUGUGAUUGUGAAGGGAGAGCCUUAUUGGAGCCCUUUGAAGCGGAGGGAGAGUGGACGGUGAGAGCCGGCUGCUUGGGCUUUUUAGGGUCGUCUGUGCGGGCGAGGCUAUUUCGAGUCACAAUAGUCGGAGGAAACGUGCUUAUAAAUGUUUCAAGAAGGGUGCAGCAUCUUAGGACGCGAGACAGAGAGCGGUGCAGAGCAGUGGCGUGCUGUCCUCUGCUGCAUUACGUUGUUUGUCAGGCCCAACGCGGAAAUCUGCAGCGACUUACAAAUGAUGCAUUCAACCAAGAGGCGACGAAGCCAGAACGACAAGGAAACCUCAUCAGACCCAAAGCAUCUCAACGUGUUCCUGUAUAUCAUUUAUUUUCCGCCCGAGACUUUGCAUGAGCUUGCGUGUCACCAUUUUUUAAGCACUUCGGCACUUGGCUAUGGGUGGUGUUGGCCGGGCUUCCUGUUUUUCUCCAGCUCCGCAUUACAGACCGAGUUGAAACAGACAGUAGACCAGAUGGACAGAUAGUCCAACACACAAAAAAAAGCUACCCUCUCUCGCCAGGUUUGGUGGAGUAAGAUGAGGAAGGCAGCAGAGGGACAGAGCAGCCGGUGGAGCAGACAGACGCUUCGGUCCGGCAUCCGCAGACCUCCUCGCGGCAGCACUCCCAUACGCAUACGCUAAUGCUGCAGCAGCAGCCUGUGGGCUGCCGUCCAGUGUUGUGUGCUGUGUGUGCGGUUCAGUUCAGAGGGGUUUUCAUGUGCAUGUCUGCUGCAUUUGUGUCAUGGGAAAAAUAUUUAUGAAAUCCCCUUGGCGUCCUUCGAGGUUAAAGAAAAGGCUGGAUCACAAAAACAGGGCAAAACACUACAGAGAGGACAACUAUGUCCUAAAGGCUUAGUGGUGAAUUUUAAGUUUAAGGAAUAUUUACCAUUGAAAAUAUUUUUACCUGGCAGGAUAAUUAUCCUGCUGUACUUUGAUAAUCCUAUAUACAAUUUGUGUAGCAAAACCUUUGUCUUUAUGUAUUGCUCUCAGCUUGAUGGUUUCUCAUUCUGGUAUCAGGAGUGAAAAGACGCCCUGGCCUUGUGUAAUUCGUUCCAUCAUCCAUCCAUUUGAUAACACAAAUAAAGAACGCGAGUAAAGGAAAUCAGUUGCACCGCAAAAAUACAGCCUGCGUUUGGUUUGGUCCCAACGUUGCUUUGCUUCACAUGUAAGCACUGUCCAAUUAUUCUCUAUUGACUUUAUAGAUGUUACUUUAAAAUAAAUGUCAUACUCACAGAAAUAUGGGAAUAUGCUUCUUGUUUUGUAUUAUAAAGUGUAUAUAUAUGUAUGUAUCCACCUAGCAGACAUCGAGGGGCCACGGCAUUCCUCGGACAAAAAAUAUCUGCAUCUAAAUGUUCAGCAGCUAAUUGAAGCUGGAGUUUACACUAUAACACUCUACUCUUGUAUUCUUAGGCUACUUGGUUCCUCGUACAUCUCCCAGUGAUUCCUCUUUCAUUUCCUUGAUGGUCUCGUUCAGGGACGUCUAUCCUUUUAGCAGCUGUACUGAACACGUGUCUCCAUCCAAUGGCACAAUGAAACAAUUACAUCGUGAGCCGAUCCUAUUACCUCGCUGCCGUCCCUUUAAAUAUGGUUUCAGUCACCUUGUUACUCACCUCACCAUCUUCACAGGACCAUCAGCUCCAUCACCUCAUGGUGGAGAUUUCUCACACUGCCGCUGGAGGCAGCAGCACCUUGAUUACAAAGCGCCAAAGACUCCGUGAAGACUUUAUCAUCACGUAUCAGCUGCCAAUUAGAAACAAUGACUGUUUCUGACUUUUCUCUCCUGAUUAAAUUGCGUGUUUGCUGUUCAGUUCAAGUACAUCACACACUUCUUCACAAACUGGUGAUGAACGUCUUGCUUUCAGUUACUUCGCUCUUCACAGCAGAUCUCAUAUUUAUGUUGCUGAAGCCUUCUCCGCCUCCAACACAUGAAGGGUAUACAUAAAUAUGUCUCAGAAGAAGUAGAAAAAAAUGAUCACAGUAAGAUAUCUCUGUACUGUUAAAUAUAGAUAAACUGGCCAUGUGUGGGUGAAUUCAAC
ensembl:lncRNA